AAGCGUGGUUGAAACAAGAUUUACUGUGAGAAGUCAGCCGAGGUCAUAGUAGGAUAUAGCGACUAGUGUCCGAAGGAC
rnacentral:ncRNA from 1 species